AAUAAGGAUAUUAGAAUCAUCCCCUCUCACAGAUUACAACGUCCUUGUUGCUCCCCAAAAUUGUACGUAAGCAAUGUUAGUGUGAGCCAACAUAGGACUCCAUACUUGUAUGUGUUUGUUCUGAUACCACCACUAACAGCUAAUAGGCCUCUUAUGCCCGUUCACUCGGCAUGUGGGACACAUUCUGUCUACGGGCGGUGCAUUAAUAUUUUGGAUGCUCCAAAGACUUGUUUAUUGACCAUGCAAUCACCACAUGAUCUAUAUCAUGAUUUGAACUCAAUCGCAUGAUAUAGUGAAUCACUUUCCGAUAUGUCACCCAUCGGUUUAUUUUACUCUGGCUCAAGCAUGCUUAAUUGUGGAUAAGUGCACUUUGGUGACAUAGGUAGCCAAAUCAAUUUUGCUAAGCCUUUCAACAUACAUACAAUACACCACAAACCGAGAUGUUACAACCACCCACUCUCAUAUAACGCAAUGUCCUUGUUGCGCAACAACAUCGUCACCCAUGUUAGUGUGUGCCCACGCAAACUCCACACUCGUUUGGGUUUAAUAAUGUUACCACUUGUAACAUCUCAACCGUCCACAACUAAUAGGCGUCCCAUGCACGAUCACUUGGCACGUGGGCCCCACCCUUUGAAAUUGGUGGUGCGAGUAAAUUUUGAAGGUUUGGAAGACUUAUUUAUUGACCUUACAAUCACCACAUGAUUUUUCCG
rnacentral:lncRNA from 1 species